rnacentral:rRNA from 1 species
AUUGAACGCUGGCGGAAUGCUUUACACAUGCAAGGCGAACGGCAGCACGGGGCAACCUGGUGGCGAGUGGCGAACGGGUGAGUAAUACAUCGGAACGUGCCCAGACGUGGGGGAUAGCUCGGCGAAAGCCGGAUUAAUACCGCAUGUGAUCUGAGGAUGAAAGCGGGGGACCGUAAGGCCUCGCGCGUUUGGAGCGGCCGAUGGCAGAUUAGGUAGUUGGUGGGGUAAAGGCUUACCAAGCCUACGAUCUGUAGCUGGUCUGAGAGGACGACCAGCCACACUGGGACUGAGACACGGCCCAGACUCCUACGGGAGGCAGCAGUGGGGAAUUUUGGACAAUGGGCGAAAGCCUGAUCCAGCAAUGCCGCGUGCAGGAUGAAGGCCUUCGGGUUGUAAACUGCUUUUGUACGGAACGAAAAGGCGCCUACUAAUACUGGGUGUUGAUGACGGUACCGUAAGAAUAAGCACCGGCUAACUACGUGCCAGCCGCCGCAGUAAAAC